UGGCGCGGGCUGGGCGCUGCGGGGCUGCGCUCCGGGAGCAUCCCCGCUGCAGAUGGUCUGUCUGGCACCCUAUUGUGAGAGCUGAGCCCCCAGCAGCCACCACUAGAAGUGCUCGAGGUUUUUUCCUCCGAGGAAAGGGGACAGCAGCAGAGAAAGCAAGCAACAACAAAUAUUGAAACAGUGGCACAACCCUGCAGACAGAGCUGGGUUGCUGUUAGAAGGAGCUGGAGUGAAAUCCCUGCAGAGAGCGAUGGAGCGGAGCUGAUGGAGCUGAAAGCGGGAUGGGAGCUGGCAGCGCUUGGCUUUGGAGCUGCUGCACGGGCAAAGUUUGCUCUGGCUUUUUCUUGGUUCUGGAUAAAAGAACGUGCUUGACUUUUCCAGAAGGAAUAGGAGGCAGCCCUGGAUGUUCCCUGAAUUUGGAGGCUGGAGGUUCCCGAGCAGCUCAGAGCUCGAUUUAACACUUUAUUUAUUCACUUUCUGUGCCACUCUUUUGUCCCCUUCAGGACCCACUGGCAGUGCUGGUGCAGCACUCCUUUCCCUGCAGAAGCUCCCUGCUGGAGAUAUUACAGUAUAUUUUUCACAGUUCUAUUUUCUUAAAGUAUUUAGUCUUAUUUGUAAAGCCAUCUUUUGAGACUUAUCUCUAG